AGAGUUUGAUCCUGGCUCAGGACGAACGCUGGCGGCGUGCCUAACACAUGCAAGUCGAACGAGAAUCUUUGAACAGAACUUUUCGGAGUGACGUUCAAAGAGGAAAGUGGCGGACGGGCGAGUAACGCGUGAGUAACCUGCCCAUAAGAGGGGGAUAAUCCAUGGAAACGUGGACUAAUACCGCAUAUUGUAGUUAAGUUGCAUGACUUGAUUAUGAAAGAUUUAUCGCUUAUGGAUGGACUCGCGUCAGAUUAGAUAGUUGGUGAGGUAACGGCUCACCAAGUCAACGAUCUGUAGCCGAACUGAGAGGUUGAUCGGCCGCAUUGGGACUGAGACACGGCCCAGACUCCUACGGGAGGCAGCAGUGGGGAAUAUUGCGCAAUGGGGGCAACCCUGACGCAGCAACGCCGCGUGCAGGAAGAAGGUCUUCGGAUUGUAAACUGUUGUCGCAAGGGAAGAAGACAGUGACGGUACCUUGUGAGAAAGUCACGGCUAACUACGUGCCAGCAGCCGCGGUAAUACGUAGGUGACAAGCGUUGUCCGGAUUUACUGGGUGUAAAGGGCGCGUAGGCGGACUGUCAAGUCAGUCGUGAAAUACCGGGGCUUAACCCCGGGGCUGCGAUUGAAACUGACAGCCUUGAGUAUCGGAGAGGAAAGCGGAAUUCCUAGUGUAGCGGUGAAAUGCGUAGAUAUUAGGAGGAACACCAGUGGCGAAGGCGGCUUUCUGGACGACAACUGACGCUGAGGCGCGAAAGUGUGGGGAGCAAACAGGAUUAGAUACCCUGGUAGUCCACACCGUAAACGAUGAUUACUAGGUGUUGGAGGAUUGACCCCUUCAGUGCCGCAGUUAACACAAUAAGUAAUCCACCUGGGGAGUACGACCGCAAGGUUGAAACUCAAAGGAAUUGACGGGGGCCCGCAC
rnacentral:rRNA from 1 species